ACAUGUCUUUUUAGUAUUUAAUAUAAAGUCUGGCCUGCCCACUGAAUAGAAUGUUUGAAGGGCCGCAGUAUUUUGACUGUGCAAAGGUAGCAUAAUCAUUAGUCUUUUAAUUGAAGGCUGGUAUGAAUGGUCGGAUGAGAUAUAAGCUGUGUCAUAAAAAUUAUUAUUUGAAUUUAACUUUUUAGUCAAAAGGCUAAAAUAAUUUUAAAAGACGAGAAGACCCUAUAGAGCUUUAUAUAGUAAAUGUUUAAAUUAUUAAGAUUUAUUAAAUUUAAUUUUUGUACUUUAUUAUGUUGGGGUGACAAUAAAAUUUAUAAAACUUUUAUUUUUAUUUAACAUUAAUUUAUGGUUAUAUGAUCCAAUUUUAUUGAUUAUAAAUUUAAGUUACCUUAGGGAUAACAGCGUAAUUUUUUUUGAGAGUUCUUAUCGACAAAAAAGAUUGCGACCUCGAUGUUGGAUUAAGAUUAAUUUUGGGUGUAGAAGUUCAAAAUUUAAGUCUGUUCGACUUUUAAAUUCUUACAUGAUC
rnacentral:rRNA from 1 species